ACCCUUGUCCUUAGUUACCAGCACGUAAUGGUGGGCACUCUAAGGAGACUGCCGGUGACAAACCGGAGGAAGGUGGGGAUGACGUCAAGUCAUCAUGGCCCUUACGGCCUGGGCUACACACGUGCUACAAUGGUCGGUACAGAGGGUUGCCAAGCCGCGAGGUGGAGCUAAUCCCACAAAACCGAUCGUAGUCCGGAUCGCAGUCUGCAACUCGACUGCGUGAAGUCGGAAUCGCUAGUAAUCGCGAAUCAGAAUGUCGCGGUGAAUACGUUCCCGGGCCUUGUACACACCGCCCGUCACACCAUGGGAGUGGGUUGCACCAGAAGUAGCUAGUCUAACCUUCGGGAGGACGGUUACCACGGUGUGAUUCAUGACUGGGGUGAAGUCGUAACAAGGUAGCCGUAGGGGAACCUGCGGCUGGAUCACCUCCUUA
rnacentral:rRNA from 1 species